AAACGAUGAUCACUGAAACUACAUCUGAUAUGAGUGC
rnacentral:guide_RNA from 1 species